UCCCGCUCGGUCCCCUUCUAUCAUCCUCGCCGUAGUCGGGCGGCGAAGCGCCAAUCCAAACGCCGGCGAGUGCUCUCCAAUAAAAUCCUGCUCCUCUCUCUCUCCCCCCUUUCCAACCUUCCCGAAACGACCCAGAGGUACGGUUUCUCGACCUCGUCCUCCUCCCGGACCGACCCAGAAACCCUACCUCGCUCCAAGGACCAUGGCGAAGAACCCGAUCCGUGCGCCGCCAUGGUGGCCGGCGGUGCUCAGAAGACUCACCACCGCAUCGGCGUCGGAGAUGAAGGCGCAGGCGGCUAGGGAGGAGGCGGAAUGGAAGCCGCUGUACCGCCGGCUGUCGGCACUAGGCGGCGCCCCAGAGGGGAGAGUGACGGCGACGCUGGAUCAGUGGGAGAUGGAAGGGUGGAGGAUGACGGCACUCCAGCUUAUGAAGCACAUCCGCGAACUCCGCAAGUACCGCCGCCACGAGCACGCCCUCGAGAUGAUGCAUUGGAUGGAAAAGAGAAGUAUGGAAAUGCCAAAUGGCUACCAUGCAGUACGCUUAGAUCUUAUAUCAAAAGUCAAGGGAGUAAGAUCUGCAGAGGAGUAUUUUUCAAAUCUCCCAGAACCUGCCAAGAACCAGCGAACCUAUGGAGCUCUUUUCAACUGUUACUGUUCAGGAAAAAUGACGGACAGGGCCGUUGCCCUCUUGGAGAAAAUGAAGGAACUGAAGUUUGCUUCUAAUGUUCUCAUCUAUAACAACCUAAUGAGUCUUUAUAUGAAGUUAGGCCAGCUGGAAAUGGUCCCAAUCUUAUUCCAAGAAAUGAAGGCGAGUAAUGUCCUGCCAGAUAGUUGCACAUAUAGGAUCAUAAUGAAAAGCUAUGCCUCAGUGAGUGACAUGGUCUCUGUUGAGAGAGUUACACAGGAAAUGGAGGAAAGUCGAGGUGCCUCAGAUUGUCUUACAUAUUGUCAUCUGGCUUCACUCUAUAAUUCAGUUGGCCUUUUUGAGAAAGCUGAGACUGCCCUCAAGAAGGCUGAAUUAGUCUUGGGCAGCCACGAGUUGUCACCAUUCCGUUUGCUUAUAAGCUCAUAUGCUGCCGCUGGUAAUCUAUCAGAGGUCAGCAGGGUCUGGAAUUCGUUUAAAGCUAGGGUUCCAAGGCCUACUAACACGAACUAUCUCAUCAUGCUUCAGGCUCUUAGAAAACUAGAUGAUAUGGAUGGACUGAAGCGAUGCUUUGAGGAGUGGGAAUCUGGCUGUGUGAACUAUGAUAUAAGGCUGGUGAACACAGUCAUAGAAGCAUACUUAAGAAAGGGUAUGGUGGAUGAAGCCAAACUGCUCCAGGAAAAGGCUGACCAGAAGGGUGAAUGGUCUGAUGUGCACACUUUUGUGCUGUUUAUAGAUCAUUAUUUGAAGAGUCGUGAACUAGAGUUGGCUCGGAAAUGUUCAAAGCUUGCAAAUUCUAUUGUGAAGAAAGGGUGGUUGAAAACUGUGGAAACAGAUGAUGUUUCCUGAAUUGUAGGAAAGCAUGUGGCUCAGAAAUGUUUUCUUUUUUUUAAUAUGAGGCAUCCACAAUAUUCAAGUUGGUGAGUUUGAUCUAUGUGAUGGGGCCAUUUGAUGUUUGGCGCGUGGGAUCUGGUUGGCGCUCUAGCUUAUAAUGUAUCAUUGAUCUGCUGUUUGUAAGGGUUGUGAACCGGCUAGCAAAAGCAGCUAAUGCCAGCCUGAUCUUAACUCUUUUGAUGGCUUGAAGUUCUGGCUUAAUGUAUGACCUAAUCCAGUCCUGGAGCAAUUCCAUGAAUUCUAGCAUGUCUACACUA